GUUAGUGUGGCAUAGUGGUUUAAGUGUUGGACUAAGACUCUGGAGGCCAGGGUUCGAAUCCCAGCUUGGCCA